rnacentral:lncRNA from 1 species
GUCCAUUUAUGUGUUGUUGGUGGAGGUUGCUGACUUACCAGACUUUGGGCCUGGCUUACCCAGAAGGACUCAUGAGAGGCCAUGUUGAAGUGUCAAGAAAUGAAACAAGAAACAGCACAAACCCUGAGCUACGAUAUGAGUCAGUUGGAAGAACUCAAAGACAAGCCAAAGCUGGAUGUAUUUGAGACAAUAUCCAUUUCUCCCAGUGAUGAUUUCUGCUCUCCAUCCUGUUUGGGGUUUGGUAUAAAUGCAGGUGGAACAUGCUCAUGCAAACAGGUAUGUUCCAUGUUGUUUAGAGCUGGAAACUUCUCUAAGAGAAGAUCAGUACAGUCCAGAGUUGUCAAAAUGGCACCAAAAUGCUCCUUAGGGGAAAUAUCAUGUAUAUGCAGAGCCUUUUAAUUUUCUCCUUAAUUUUCUUUACAUUACUUGGAAAAACUAUCAAGACACUUUCUUCAAAGGAGCAAGACUUCCGCUUCCUCACAGGCACACUGUUUCUUUAGGGAGGUACAGGAUCUUUGCUAACAGGUGCUCGUUGCCCUCAGAAGUGCUGUCUGGGUUCACGGGAGGAGACGGAAUAGACGGCGGCGCUGAUGUCACCAGCUGAUAAGUCCUGGCAGCAGCCCAAACCUGCAGAUCAAUAGGGAUGCAGAUGGCUGUGGGGCAGACAGCCUGAUGUCUGCUCUGAUUUCACUUCCUCCCCAGUCACAGCCCAUCACUAUGGUCAUGUGGGUCAAAAGAGAGAGAAUGCCUAGGUUUCAGAUGCAUAUAGCUCUUGUCCCCAGGGCGGUGACCAUGAUGUGAACUUUCAAUGAACAAAUGGAAAACAUGGGCCUUCACCCCAAUCUAGACAACAUUUUUGCCAGAACGUGCACCUAACAGCCUUGCUUUUGUUGGGAGUUGGUGCUGCCUCCACACGG